UGACGGUACAGUGACUCGUUUUUUAUAAAAUUGAUCUAAUGUUACAUUUGAUUUUUAUACUUUAAUUAAAUGAAAAAUCGUAAUCGUAAAAGUUUCGAAAUUAACCGCCGAAGUCGACUGUUGAAACGAAGUCGCGAGGAGGCGACCGUCACACGUGUUGUACUUUGUAUUCUCCAUAUAGACGUUAUCGGUUUAUUCAUAUCGAGUGUACUGUGAGAGAAACAUAUUCGGAGUCACGAGUCCGAUACACCUAGUUACUGUAACGCUUAGAAUUCGACAAAUUUAAUUAGAGUUAUAACUGAUGAGAAGGGAGGAAGCAACAAGUCUCCGACCCGCCGCGGCCGUCCUCGACUCCCUUCAUUCUCGCAUCCAUUUGAGUAUGUGGUAUCGGUAUUGGUUAAUGCCUUUUUGGAUUGAUACUGGGAGUGAACGGUGACGCGUUACUUCCUUUUAUGUUAUAAAAAAUGUAAAAUAUGUUAUUGGCUUAUUACUUCAUUUCUGUCGACACUUCGGUAGUGGCAGGCUAGGAUGGGUUAAAUGCUCUAGUCGGAGAUGCGGUGCAUUAUUCAUCAGCGGGUGGAAAGUUUUGUCUUUUCGAAUAUCAAGAUGUGGGUCAAGGCCCUGGUUGGCCGGUCCGCUACUCGCCAGUCGCGAUGCCUACUUGAUGUUCAUUUAGAUGCAACCUCGUUCAACAUUGCUUAAUUACUCAUUAUAACUUCCGUCUCGAUAAUUCGAGGAAAAGUUUCUCUGUUUCAAUUCAAGAUUUAAAAUAAUAGAUGUUAACUUAAACAUUUAUUUAAAUAACCUACCGAGAUUCUUAUUGGAAUUAGACAUGCCAAACUAUUUGUAGUCAUUAAACUGUAUUAGCACCAGCAUUCACUGAAAAUAAUUUUCAAACGCAAAAUGAUGUUUUUGUUGUGUCAGAACAAACGUGUAGAUAAGAGUAACCGAGCACUGACUAUCAGCUGGUGUCGAGGGUCGAGCGAUACGAUAUUGUUUUUGUCGGAGCGGGAGACCGCAGGCUAUCGAGGGUUAUCGCACUCUUGUUUCGAAGUUUGUAAGUUGGUUCCUUCCACGCGGUUCUAUCGUGCUCUUUAAAUAAACACUAUGUUUUAUUUGGUUUCGGCUGAACGUAAAGCUGUGGAGGAGAGCAAUCAGGAGACUGGUGAAAGCAGCUAUAAAUUAAUCGCUCAAGUGGAUUCCACUUUCGAAACGAAUUCUUAUAGGUACCGGAUCGUCGCCGCGGCGGGACCGGUUCUUAAUUUCCUAUAGGUGUGCGCGUUAUGCAUCUAUUUCGGGAGUCGAUGACCGCCAGUUUGGCACUGCGGCCGGUUUCACUCUGUCCGGGACUAUCCGCCGCACCUCCUCGGUGUUCGUGUCGAAGGCACGCGUGCGUAUUUUGAGUGGGUGACGUCACGAGGCGUCCCCUCUAACCCUCUGGUAAUAAAUGAUCAUUAUUCGUUCUGUGAGAACAAUCCCGCCAUGAACAUGAUAUCCCACGUGGCGAUCGCCCCGAGCAUUGUUGUCGGCUAUUUUUGUCAUCCGCUAAAAUGAGCGGCAGAUCGCUCGCCCGUCGAUCUCCGUGACGGGCGCUGGCGCAUUAUUUGUUUCUUUAUUUACGUCAAUAGUUUGUUGCACAAAUCGCUACUGCGUUAUUUAUGCGAGGACACGUGAUGUGUUAAAAAAUAACCUUUUGGAUGUAGGCAUUGUGAAAAAUUAAAAGUGUGCGGGACAGUCAUCGACCGUGGAGCAACAACGUGGAACAUCCGAGGAGGAAAACAGGAGAGGAAACAAAAAAAAUAAAUACAUCUCGUGACGGCGCAAACACCGCGUUAACAGAGAAACAUUGGAAAUGAAAAUAAUUAUUGUUAUACUCCGAUGACUUCCUUCAAAGACGUUGCCGGAGAAGGGUUCAAAAUAGUAGAAGAGAGUGCUUAGAAAAAAUAUUCUGUAUUUACUUAUGGAACACUUUGAAACAAAAACAUUUUGAUCCUUAUAUAUCGUAGCUCCAAUCUGCAAAGAGUUGGGAUCAUACAAGUGACACGGACUCGAACAAUCACUAAGUUGCAAAGAUCCGUGGGUGACGAGCUGCUGGAUCUAUAGUCGCUUGUAUCCUGAGGAGAAUUGUUGAUUAUAAUUAAUAUGAAGUGUUCUUAAGCUUUUACACUAGUUUGUAUUCUGACGAAAUAUAAUGUGUUUUAUAUGA